rnacentral:rRNA from 1 species
GACGAACGCUGGCGGCGUGCUUAACACAUGCAAGUCGAACGAAGUGGCGAACGGGUGAGUAACGCGUAAUCAACAUGCCCUUCAGAGGGGGACAACAGUUGGACACGACUGCUAAUACAGCAUACUGAAGGAGGGGAUUGGGUCUGAUUAGCUAGUUGGAGGGGUAACGGCCCACAAAGGCGAGGAUCAGUAGCCGGUCUGAGAGGAUGAACGGCCACAUUGGGACUGUGACCAGGCCCAGACUCCUACGGGAGGCAGGAGUGGGGAAUCUGCCGCAAUGGACGAAAGUCUGACGGAGCAACGCCGCGGGAGGGAUGACGGCCUUCGGGUUGUAAAGCUCUGUUAAUCGGGACGCGGUACCUGAAUAGAAAGCCACGGCUAACUACGUGCCAGCAGCCGCGGUAAUUC